ACGCGAAGAACCUUACCUGGGUUUGACAUCCCGAUCGUACCUUCUGGAAACAGUUGGGUCAGUUCGGCUGGAUCGGUGACAGGUGCUGCAUGGCUGUCGUCAGCUCGUGUCGUGAGAUGUUGGGUUAAGUCCCGCAACGAGCGCAACCCUCGUCCUUAGUUGCCAUCAUUAAGUUGGGCACUCUAAGGAGACUGCCGGUGUUAAACGGGAGGAAGGUGGGGAUGACGUCAAGUCCUCAUGGCCCUUAUGUCCAGGGCUACACACGUGCUACAAUGGCGGGUACAAAGGGCUGCGAACCCGCGAGGGGGAGCCAAUCCCAAAAAGCCGCUCUCAGUUCGGAUUGGAGUCUGCAACCCGACUCCAUGAAGGCGGAAUCGCUAAUAAUCGCGGAUCAGCACGCCGCGGUGAAUACGUUCCCGGGCCUUGUACACACCGCCCGUCACACCAUGGAAGCCAGUUGUACCGGAAGUCGGUGAUUCAACCCGCAAGGGGGAUAGCCGCCCAUGGUAUGGCUUGGUGACUGGGGUGAAGUCGUAACAAGGUAGCGUAGGGGAACCUGCGGCUGGAUCACCUCCUU
rnacentral:rRNA from 1 species